rnacentral:rRNA from 1 species
GACGAACGCUGGCGGCGUGCUUAACACAUGCAAGUCGAACGAUGAACCAGGGCUUGCCCUGGGGAUUAGUGGCGAACGGGUGAGUAACACGUGGGCAACCUGCCCCUGACUUCGGGAUAACUCCGGGAAACCGGAGCUAAUACCGGAUACGAGCAUUGAGGACAUCCUCGAUGUUGGAAAGUUUUUCGGUCAGGGAUGGGCCCGCGGCCUAUCAGCUUGUUGGUGGGGUAAUGGCCCACCAAGGCGACGACGGGUAGCCGGCCUGAGAGGGCGACCGGCCACACUGGGACUGAGACAUGGCCCAGACUCCUACGGGAGGCAGCAGUGGGGAAUAUUGCGCAAUGGGCGAAAGCCUGACGCAGCGACGCCGCGUGAGGGACGACGGCCUUCGGGUUGUAAACCUCUUUCAGCAGGGACGAAGCGAAAGUGACGGUACCUGCAGAAGAAGCACCGGCCAACUACGUGCCAGCAGCCGCGGUAAUACGUAGGGUGCAAGCGUUGUCCGGAAUUAUUGGGCGUAAAGAGCUCGUAGGCGGUCUGUCACGUCGGAUGUGAAAACUCGGGGCUCAACCCCGAGCCUGCAUACGAUACGGGCAGACUUGAGUGUGGCAGGGGAGUCUGGAAUUCCUGGUGUAGCGGUGAAAUGCGCAGAUAUCAGGAGGAACACCGGUGGCGAAGGCGGGACUCUGGGCCAAUACUGACGCUGAGGAGCGAAAGCGUG